rnacentral:lncRNA from 1 species
GGGCCUGGGAAGAUGCUGCGGAGGACGCUGCGGAUUCGCGAGCCCGGGAUGAGGAAACUGAGGCUGAGAGGGUAGAGAACUUUGCCUGAGGUCACUCAGCAGGGACCCACCCAUCACAGUAAAUGCCAGCACUGCUGAUGCCAAAACAAUGUUAUUUGUGCCUGAACACCCUGUCCUACCUGGUCCUACCUGGAUGCUGGCCUCAGUAAGCUCCUGGGCUCAUUGAAGAUGAACCUAGCAGUAGUAUUUACACCACUUGUUGUGUGCCCACUGUGGGCCCGGCGCCAUGCCGAGUGCUCUAUGGAUGUGAGUGCUGGGAGAGAAAAGCAUACGACAUAGACAGGGAGGUCAAGCUCCACCACGCAGAUGAGGUGCAGGCCACCAGUCUUCCUCUGCCACAUCUCUUUCUGAAAAGGACUUCACAUUCACCCUUGCAAUCCAUGUGGGGACACUGUUGGAUAGGAGGCGUGGUCCCAGCGUGGUCUCCCUGUCUGGGCCUCUGCCUAUGCCAAAUGUUUGCCUUACGCUGCACACUCAAGAGGUUCCAUGUAUACAGAUGGGAAUUCCAGAGCUACAGAAAAGGCAGCAAGCACCAUGAUUUAAGCUAACCAGUGUGGAUUCACACCUUCCUCUCUCUCUAUCAGUGGCAGAACUACCAGCUAGAGUAAGAAGUGGUUGAUCCAGGACCUAAACAUUCUGGAAACUCUUGCCCACUUCUGGGAGAAAUGACCCAAUCCAUAGUACUAAGCACACCUUAACUUUCGUAGGACGCAGGCAAGUUGUCAUACCGUGUGCCUAAAUAUAGAAAAAUGAUCCACUGGACUAAUAAAGUGUUAAAUAAAAUA